rnacentral:rRNA from 1 species
UUGGAGGGCAAGUCUGGUGCCAGCAGCCGCGGUAAUUCCAGCUCCAAUAGCGUAUAUUAAAGUUGUUGCAGUUAAAAAGCUCGUAGUUGAAUUUCGGGGUUAGUAGGUUGGUCAUGCCUCUGGUAUGUACUGGUCUCACUGAUUCCUCCUUCCUUAUGAACCGUAAUGCCAUUAAUUUGGUGUUGCGGGAAUUUGGACUGUUACUUUGAAAAAAUUAGAGUGUUUAAAGCAAGCUAACGCUUGAAUACAUUAGCAUGGAAUAAUGAAAUAGGUACG